rnacentral:rRNA from 1 species
GACGAACGCUGGCGGCGUGCUUAACACAUGCAAGUCGAACGGAAAGGCCCUGCUUUUGUGGGGUGCUCGAGUGGCGAACGGGUGAGUAACACGUGAGUAACCUGCCCUUGACUUUGGGAUAACUUCAGGAAACUGGGGCUAAUACCGGAUAGGAGCUCCUGCUGCAUGGUGGGGGUUGGAAAGUUUCGGCGGUUGGGGAUGGACUCGCGGCUUAUCAGCUUGUUGGUGGGGUAGUGGCUUACCAAGGCUUUGACGGGUAGCCGGCCUGAGAGGGUGGCCGGCCACAUUGGGACUGCGAUACGGCCCAGACUCCUACGGGAGGCAGCAGUGGGGAAUAUUGCACAAUGGGCGGAAGCCUGAUGCAGCAACGCCGCGUGCGGGAUGACGGCCUUCGGGUUGUAAACCGCUGUCGCCUGUGACGAAGCGUGAGUGACGGUAAUGGGUAAAGAAGCACCGGCUAACUACGUG